rnacentral:rRNA from 1 species
AUUCGAUUCAGCCCUAACACAUGCAAGUCGAGCGAAUGAAGAAGAAGCUUGCUUCUUUCUGCUUUAUCGGCGGACAAAAAAGUAACCCGUGGGCAACCUGCCCUGUAGAUUGGGAUAACUCCGGGAAUCCGGGGCUAAUACCGAAUAACCCAUUUCCUCUCAUGAGGAGAUGUUAAAAGACGGUUUCGGCUGUCCCUUCAGGAUGGGCCCCCGGCGCAUUAGCUAGUUGGUAGGGU